UCUCCCACACACAACAACACUCACACACGUACACAACCAACAACAACAGCAAUAAACUCACCAUUACCGCAUCCUCUCCAUAGAGAGAAAAAUAAAAAUAAAAAGAAAAAGAGAGAGAAAAGAAAGCAUUAUAACAAAAACCGAUUAUCUAAUAUCUUCUUCUUCUUCUUCCCAACCGCUCUUUUCUUCUUCCUCUUCUCACAAACCCUAAUUUCAUUCAUCGUUCAUCGCUCAUCGCCAUGCUUUCUUCGUCGUAGUUUCGUUACUUUCCUUUCACUGGAACAAACUCUUCCUUUUUUUCACCAUUACGCAUUUGUUAUUUUUUUUUUUGUUACUGAUUCUUCCACGAUCGUUACUUCCGUCGCGUUCUCUUUUGUCUCCCUCGUCAAUCGUUUCCCGAUCCUUCUCGUUCUGCAGCUAUACGCGUCGAUCU